rnacentral:rRNA from 1 species
GUGCCAGCAGCCGCGGUAAUACGUAUGGACCGAGCGUUGUCCGGAAUCAUUGGGCGUAAGGGUACGUAGGCGGCCUAGUAAGUUAGAAGUGAAAUAAUAUAGCUCAACUAUAUAAAGCUUUUAAAACUGUAAGCUUGAGAGAUGAAGGGAAAGUGGAAUUCCUAGUGUAGCGGUGAAAUGCGCAGAUAUUAGGAAGAAUACCAGUGGCGAAGGCGACUUUCUGGUCAUCAUCUGACGCUGAGGUACGAAA